AUAAUAACAACAAUAAAUUAUUAUUUAAUAUAGGUCUCUUGGUGAAGCAUGCAUUAACUAUUCACCUUCUUCCUCACCCAGUUGUAGCUGUUCACACCUUCUCCUUCUCACGCUUUUUCCGUUGCGCAUAAUUUUUCGGCAAGUUCCCGUCGUCUUCUUUUCUCUUCGCAGCACCGGCUGCCACAACAAGUGAACAUCGUGAAGCUUGCGUUCUUUAUCGUCUCCCUCUCUUCUCAUCCGCCAGCCAUCUAUUUUCCUUUCGUGUCUCUGCUGCUCCAUGCUUUAUUAGCUCCGUCCUCCAUCUUGUGCAAUCGUCUUCGAAGCUUUGUUCGGUCCGCAUUGGAGAACGUCCUUGAGCCAUCCCUCUCUAUCUCAAGCUGCGUGCAUCGGUCACCAACUGUCCGAGUUGAAUUCCCCAACUCGAGCUGACAAUCUCUAUCUCUCAGUCGCUUGCCUCUGUUGGUUGUUGACGAGUUUUUUUGGAAUUUCUUCCGACCAAGAUUGAAUUGGUUUAAACCCCUCUUGUUGGUCUCAAUAAUUAUGGAUGUUGAUGAGGGAGAAAGUCCAUACGACAUCAAGGAAUUACAAGAUCUCGAUAAGGUAAUUUUUUUGCCCUCAAUUGAUGUGAACUUGAUGUUAAUAAUGAAAGAUCGUUUAGUUGUAUUUGCUCUUUUAUUUCCUUAUCAAAUGAGAAAAGCCUGAAUGUAUAGCUUGUAUUUGCAAACUGUUGUGUUUGUUACGAUUAAAGAUUUCUAGUGAUAUAGUAUUUUUGUUUAAUAUGAAA